rnacentral:rRNA from 1 species
AUGACAAAGGGAAAGCAUACCGCUGACAAGCAGGAUCUCAUCUACACCCUUGGCUUUGAGCUCCUCGGCCUGAGUAAUGAAGCCUGGUACAUGCUGAUUAUACCUGCAGGUGGGGGUGAAGGCGCCAGGGACACCGAAGAGGAUGACCUUCUUGCCGGCGGCCAGGGAGUGGAUGGAGACCUGCUGCAUCUGGUCGCUCUCGUCGAACCACGCGAGCUGGCCGUCGGGGAGGGUGCUGCCCACGCCAAUCGGAGCCAUGGUGCUUGCUCUGGGUUUGGGGAGGGGAGAAGGAGUCUAGAACGGAAGGCAGGCGACAGGGAAGGAGGGGGUUGA